GGGAGGGUCACUUUUACUGAAAAUUCUAUGCGCACUGUCUCCUUUCCGAGGCUCAUCUUUUUAUUUGUUUAUUUAUUUAUUCUUCUGUUGUUUAUUCGGAAGUUGUGAAUAUUUUAGUAACGGAAGAUUUGGUUUCUUGUUUCUACUAAGAUUCGACAUAUAAGAACGUCUGGAUCUUCCCCAUCUUGAAUUUAAAGGAACUCUUUGAGUGAAAGGCAAGUCAUCAUGAAGUACGUACGUAAUAUGUGGCAUUAGAAACAUCUUUUACAGCGUGUUAUCUUCUUUUAUGGAGUAUAUUGCCUAAUAGAUGAAAAUUAUUUUUCCGAGAAUUAAAUUUGAAACCCCAGAUAUACCGUUGAAAAGCUCAGAGGUUCCACAGCAUCGGCGAAUGCUGUUUGGAGUCUGUACGAUGCAAGGCUGACACUCCAUAGGAUGAACACUGCUUAGCAUCGACAUGGGUAGAAUCGAUACUGGACAACCUCGACAUCAGCAUACUAUGGACACUACAAAAACUACAAAUGAUGCAAUCAGUAAGAUGAUUGCCGCUCUUGCUGACUGCCGUGCUGAAGGACCUGUGUUCAAAUCCCGGAGAAGGCAUGGAUGUUUGUAAAUGUAUAGUGUCGGUGCGGCGUAGCGGCACUUUAAAUAUAAUCGGCGAGCCCAAAGUCCUCUCGUGUGGGAUCCUCCGACUCUUUCCCUUCCCGGGGUGCUCUCCAUAAAAUUCGCGGGCGGAACUGAGACAAAUGACACUGUAAUAUGUUAGGUGCUCAAGGCUGUUGCCAAAUACAGGCGAAAUCUUGCGCUCCUUGUCACCAGGAAUUUCGUGGGCUUGGGCUGACUGUACAUCAGACAAGUGAGCAUAGGCAACAACAACAAGAGGGUUAGUGCAUAUUUGGGAGCCUUCACAGACUUAAAACGACAUUGGAUUGAACCGAUACUGCUGUACUAACCUGCUUUAUAAUUAGGAAUGGUGCACAAUCUAGAAACGAAGAAUUCAAUUAAAUUAUUAGUUUAGAGUACUUGCAAAGGAUCGACAAUGUAAGAAGAAAAGGGUCGUUACAAAGGAUCGACAUAAUAGAAACAGGAAUUUUGAGUCCUCACGUCGAUUCUUUGUCGGAAGAAAGGCUUUUGAUUCUAUGCAAAAUCCAUCUUGUACUACAUUCCAUCAGAAGUUAUAUCAUUAGAGUAUAAAUACUGAACUUUUGUACUAAUGUCAUAUUUGGGAAGUCAUUUCUUUCUUUACGGCGAAACGUAAGAAGCGUUAUGCUCAGUGCUCAGCUCAGCUCCAUAUUUAAUUCUAAAUGCAACUUGAUCAGUCUUUGAUGCGUAUGGUAUUCAUGAUGAUCCUGAAGAAGUUUGUCUGUUUAAUUUAAAUCAGUAAUUGGUAUAAAAAAGAAAAUAGAUCAAGUCAGUUCAGUUUAAUUUAAUUUAAUUGUGACUGCAAUAGUUCCUUUAAAUGUAUAUAUUUCUUGUCGUAUAUUAAUUUCUGUACUCAGCUUUAAAAUCAGAAAAUGUAAAUCAUCAUAAAAAUAUAAUACCUUUAGAUUAAUAAAGUCAAAUCAAAUCCAUUAGAUUAAUAAAGUCUUUUAAAAUGACUUUAAAAAAUAUAAUAAAUAAAUUUUUCGAAUAAAUAAAAUUAUUAUACUAGGAAAAAAAAAUUUUUCUACAUUAUGUGGACGUAUUAUUUGAAAUAAAAGCAACACCAAAAGGAGGAAUUAAUUCUGAAAGUUACUGACGUUUUCAAGUCCCCAAGGUUAUAAAUCUGAACUAAUAAAUACAUCCAGAUUUUAUUAGCUUGUAUAUUAAAAUUACUUAACAUCUGUAUUUUUAUUUUCGUUGCAGUUUUAUUUUGUUAUCUGAUGAAU